rnacentral:rRNA from 2 species
UUGAUCUCAAAUCAGGUAGGACUACCCGCUGAACU